rnacentral:rRNA from 1 species
GCUACAGAAACGUUAAAGGAAGUGACGGGGGCCCGCACGAAGCGGUGGAGUAUGUGGUUUAAUUCGAUGCAACGCGAAGAACCUUACCUGGUCUUGACAUCCCGGAGACCUUAGGAAACUAGGGGGUGCUUCCAUCUGGAAGAAUCUGGAGACAGGUGGUGCAUGGUUGUCGUCAGCUCGUGUCGUGAGAUGUUGGGUUAAGUCCCGCAACGAGCGCAACCCUUGUGUUUAGUUGCAAACAGGUCAAGCUGUGCACUCUAGACAGACUGCCGUGGACAACACGGAGGAAGGUGGGGAUGACGUCAAAUCAUCAUGCCCCUUAUGAUCUGGGCUACACACGUGCUACAAUGGCCGGUACAACGGGCAGCGAAGGAGCGAUCCGGAGCGAAUCCUAAAAAGCCGGUCCCAGUUCGGAUUGCAGGCUGAAACUCGCCUACAUGAAGUUGGAGUUGCUAGUAAUCGCGAAUCAGAAUGUCGCGGUGAAUGCGUUCCCGGGUCUU